rnacentral:rRNA from 1 species
ACGUAGGGGGCGAGCGUUGUCCGGAGUUACUGGGCGUAAAGCGCACGCAGGCGGUCUGCUAAGAGUGGGGUGACAGUGGUCGGCUUAACCGACUAAGUGCCUGACAGACUGGCAGACUUGAGGGCCACAGAGGGACAUGGAACUCCAGGUGUAGUGGUGAAAUGCGUAGAUAUCUGGAAGAACACCAAAGGCGAAGGCAGUGUCCUGGGUGGUACCUGACGCUGAUGUGCGAAAGCCAGGGGAGCGAACGGGAUUAGAUACCCCGGUAGUCCUGGCCGUAAACGAUGACCACUAGAUGUGCGGGGUAUCGACCCCCUGCGUGUCGGAGUUAACGCGAUAAGUGGUCCGCCUGGGGAGUACGGUCGCAAGAUUA